rnacentral:rRNA from 1 species
AUUGAACGCUGGCGGCAGGCUUAACACAUGAAAGUCGAGCGAGCGGCGGACGGGUGAGUAAUGUCUGGGAAACUGCAUGAUGGAGGGGGAUAACUACUGGAAACGGUAGCUAAUACCGAAUACCCUCAGAUGUGCCCAGAUGGGAUUAGCUAGUAGGUGGGGGAAGGGCUCACCUAGGCGACGAUCCCUCGCUGGUCUGAGAGGAUGACCAGCCACACGUGAACUGAGCCACGGUCCAGACUCCUACGGGAGGCAGCAGUGGGGAAUAUUGCACAAUGGGCGCAAGCCUGAUGCAGCCAUGCCGCGUGUGUGAAGAAGGCCUUCGGGUUGUAAAGCACUUUCAGCGAGGAGGCGUUACUCGCAGAAGAAGCACCGGCUAACUCCGUGCCAGCAGCCGCGGUAAUAC